AUAUCACUUGUGGGAAUAAGUCCCUCAUUGGUAGUGUGCAAUAAAAUUAAGGUGCGUAUAAGUGUAAGCAAACCAAACCAAAGUGGCUUAGGCUAUUUUGGUGAUGAGGAGCUUAGUUUCAAGCCCAUUUCAACGUGUAGCCUACCAAUUUUAUAUUCACGCUACUGGGUCCAUAAUUUUCAACAGUACUGAUGAAUACUACCCUGUGAACAGUACCAAAACUAUGAUGAAUCAAUUUGAUAUUCACGCUACUGGGUCCAUAAUUUUCAACAGUACUGAUGAAUACUACCCUGUGAACAGUACCAAAACUAUGAUGAAUCAAUUUGAUAUUCACGCUACUGGGUCCAUAAUUUUCAACAGUACUGAUGAAUACUACCCUGUGAACAGUACCAAAACUAUGAUGAAUCAA
rnacentral:misc_RNA from 1 species